rnacentral:rRNA from 1 species
UUUUUGGAGAGUUUGAUCCUGGCUCAGGACGAACGCUGGCGGCGUGCCUAAUACAUGCAAGUCGAGCGAAUCAUCAGGGAGCUUGCUCCCUGAUGAUUAGCGGCGGACGGGUGAGUAACACGUGGGUAACCUGCCUGUAAGACUGGGAUAACUCCGGGAAACCGGGGCUAAUACCGGAUAACUUUUUUCUUCGCAUGAAGGGGAAUUGAAAGAUGGCCUCGGCUAUCACUUACAGAUGGACCCGCGGCGCAUUAGCUAGUUGGUGAGGUAACGGCUCACCAAGGCGACGAUGCGUAGCCGACUUGAGAGGGUGAUCGGCCACACUGGGACUGAGACACGGCCCAGACUCCUACGGGAGGCAGCAGUAGGGAAUCUUCCGCAAUGGACGAAA